rnacentral:rRNA from 1 species
CCAGCAGCCGCGGUAAUUCCAGCUCCACUAGCGUAUAUUAAAGUUGUUGCAGUUAAAAAGCUCGUAGUUGAACUUCUGAUUGUUGCUUGAGUCGGUAUUUAUAUCGCUCUAGCGGCAGUCAUCCGUCUGCAAACUUUUACAUCCUUAACUGGUUUGUCUAAGGGAGCAGGCAUUUUACUUUGAAAAAAUUAGAGUGUUUAAGGCAGGCGCAAGCCUGAAUACAUUAGCAUGGAAUAAUGGAAUAGGACGCUUGUCCAUUUGAUUGGUUAUUGGACUCGCGUAAUGAUUAAUAGGGACAGUUGGGGGCAUUAGUAUUUAAUUGUCAGAGGUGAAAUUCUUGGAUU